UCCUGAAUAGCUCAGUUGGUGAGAGCCUGGUACUGAUAUUGCCAAGGCUGCAGGUUCGAUCCCUACAUGGGAC